CACGUAGGGGACGAGCGUUGUCCGGAAUCAUUGGGCGUAAAGCGCGCGUAGGCGGCCCGGAAAGUCGGAUGUGAAAUCCCGGGGCUCAACCCCGGGCCUGCAUCCGAUACUCCCGGGCUGGAGUACUGCAGGGGAGACUGGAAUUCCUGGUGUAGCGGUGGAAUGCGCAGAUAUCAGGAGGAACACCGGUGGCGAAGGCGGGUCUCUGGGCAGUAACUGACGCUGAGGAGCGAAAGCGUGGGGAGCGAACAGG
rnacentral:rRNA from 1 species